rnacentral:piRNA from 1 species
UCCAUUUCAUUAUAAUGUACCCAAAAUAGGCC